rnacentral:sRNA from 1 species
GCCAGGUGCUUUGGUGCAUGCCUGUCAUUCCAGCUACUUGGGAGGUGGAGGCAGGAAAAUCACAUGAGCCCAGGAGUUGGAGACCAACCUGGGCAACAUAGGAAGACACUGUCUCAA